GCCAACAUCUGAAAGGAGCGAGCCUCCGCGUGGAAGUCCGCGCGCGCCGAGCGGGGGGCUCCCUCCGGGUGCCAGAUAGAAAGCCUAUUCGGCGUGGUCCCGCUCCCUGCUCUCUUGUUCUCCUCAAAGGGGGGCGAGGUCUACACGCGCACAUUCCAGGCUGUAAAAUGAAGUCGCGCUUACCAGGGAAAAGUUCAGCCCCACUGGACACAGUGGGGGGUUAUUCCUCACAGCCAAAUAAAUAAGCCGCCGCCUGGGCGCUCCCUCCCCCGCCAGUUUCAAGGAAUGUGCUUAAACAGGGCUGGAUCCGCGCCUCCUCUGCUUGCCGGAACCGGAGCGAAAACAGGAGCCAGUCCGGAUCAAAGGGAGACUGGAGAGGAGCUCCAGAAAACGGGGACGCGGAGACUUGGAGCCCAGAGGUUUCAAUCAUGGUGAAAAUCAGCCAAGGGCGCAGCACCAGCGCUCCCGCCGCCGCCUCCUCCUCCUCCUGCGCCACUAAUGUACAUCCUGGAUGCUGAAGUCUGUCUAAGCUAAAAAGAAUUUCCUUUUUGGAGGAGAAAGCCUCCAGCUCCUUCUGUUCAGAGGAAAGUGCCAGUGAUGUUAAUGCGGGGUGACACUAAAUAAACAGGCUCUGAAAAGAAUUCCAAACCCUUGGCAUAAUAAGUGGAUUGUACGGAUCUUUUCUACUUUCCUCAAGCACAAAUUGCACAACAAGAAAAGAGGAGAGCCGCUCUCGGUAACAUAAACCUCUCGGAUUGGAAAAGGAAGAGGAAGAAUAAGGAGGAAUAAGCUAAGAGGCGGAGAGACGCGAAAGAACAAUCGCCGGGUGCCCCUCUUUCCGGGUCAUUACGGUACUGCUGGUCUCCAAUCAAUCCUAAUGCGAUGGCAAUUGGAGUCCCCGAUGAACGCAUCUCAGGUUUCGUGUAAUGGCUCUACCACAUUUUCCUGGACCCCCUUCUUUAACCUGAGAUGCCAGGGGGACGGGUCUCUUUUCAGCUGCUGAUUGCUUCAAGAUGUGGGGACUCCGGGGGGGGGGGGAGGGGAGCGAGAAAGUCUUGGGAUAGCCAGAAACUGUUUGUUGUUAGUCUAAGCUGUUUAUUUAAUCAACAGAACAAAGCAGAUUUUUCUCUCUUCUUCCAUUUCUUUCUGCAACGCUCCCUCCAUCUGUUCGGGAUUCGGAAUUCCGCCUCCCACUUGAGCCAAGUUUCCAGUUUUAUAAUACUGGGCUGCUGUCUCUGUUUACUAACAAACAGAUCACUUGGAAAGGACUAAGGAUUUAUUCUAGCCAGAACCUACAAAGGCUGAUUAUGAUUAUGAUUAUGAUAUUUACAAACCACUUAAGGUCAAAACAGACUUCCAAAUGGUUUGCGAAUUUUAUUUUAUUUUAAACCAGUUCAUACAAACCUUAGAAUGGAAUCUGCAAUAGAAUAAUCCCAUUAUUUGACCCCAGAAAAUUGUGAAAGUCUUUUAUGUGCAGAGUGCCUAUGCUAGCGGUAGCCCAAGACGUUUCUCCCCCUGAAACCAAGCGUCACAAUGAUUUCUUAAUAUUUCUUAUUUAUUUGUUAGAUGUAUAUCCACCCCCAUCCUUGGAUCAAGUUACAACAGAAGUUUUUAUUUAUUUUUGUUCUCUUACAUAUAUAAAAAAGAGUGUUCAUAUCCCACACUUUCAUUGUAAAAACCAUGCAUUGGGGACUCACAUCAGGUAUUUUUUAAAAAUGAUAAGGAAUCAUACAUAUUAUGAUGUAGAUUCUGUAUCUGUGGGGUUUCACAGAAUGCGGAACUGUGCCAUACACAGUUAGCCCUAUGCAGGGGGAGUAAUGAAUACAUAAAAAUCAACAGUUUCAGUAAUAAGUACUAGUGUUACUAUUAUGUGUUAACUUUGGUCUUAUUUAAACAUUUAUUUGUUAAAAUGAUUUACGUCCCACUUUGAGAAAACAUUCCCUCCCCAAAGAAACCUGCAAACAAAAGUAAUAAACACAUGACAAUAACGAAAUUGGGAAAAAUGGAUUAAAACAGAUCAAUUAAUAUUUUUUUUCAUACUCACUUGUACUUCUGCAGAAUGCCAGAAUAAUACCUGCAAAAUAAUUAAUUAUCAGUGCAAAUGUGGGCAGAGAGGCAAGUAUGUUUAUUGAGGGAGAAUAAUGUGAAAUGUGGUGAAGAACUUCAUUUGUUCCAGUUUCCUUUCUCUUUUUUGUUUUAUCAUUAUUUUUUCCUUGAAUCUAUGCUUAUCGUAAAUAAAUGUUUUUGUAAAAAUA